rnacentral:lncRNA from 1 species
AUGUAGGAAAGAAUGAGCUAGGGAGAAAGAGGGAAGGGAAUGGAUGAAUGGGGGUAAGAAAACUGACUUGACUUGAUAGAAAAUUUCCAAAUGAAACUCUAUAUGUCAACUACUUGUUAAUGGCAGCAUCUCAUAUAAUACAGAAAAGUAUUUGAGCAUGCAGUGGACAUAUGCCAUUUUAUUUGAUUGCCUGGUAUCCAUGCCCUGUCUUAUUUAUGCAAAAUAUCCUACUCUGUGUAGUGUUUUUUUUUGGAGACUGAAGGAGACCGUCAAAAGAGAUCCUGAGACAGAUGUUUGCCUGCAGGUGGUUCGCUGAAAAGUACUUUUAGGGACAACACAGAUAGGGGAAUGAGGAAAGCUAGAUGGGGCAGAGGGUGAAGUUGAAUUGUAAUGCAGUUUGCAUAAAGACCUCAGUCAACUCCUCCUGGGGUUGGGAGACAAGGAUGGCUGUUCAGAGAUGUACAAAUUGAGCACAGUUGGCAGGCUUUUGAUUCUUGUAUCAACUGUUAGAGGCAUUAGAACCAGAGCGACUCCAUCUUGAGUAAGGGCUAAGAAAAAUGAGGCUGAAGUUUGCUGGGUUGCAUUCCCAGGAAGUUAGGUGUUCCUAGAUUCUAGAUCUAGUUUAUGAUUUAGGGAACAGAUUGAUAACAUUUACUAAACAGACCCAGACUCAGGAAUGUCCUGAUAUCCCAGUAUCUUGAGAACAGAAACAUUCCUAAUUUUGCUUUAAAGAUAAUAUCGAUUCUUGUAAAAUAUAGUAAUUAAGAAAAUCAAUUCUUUAUCACAAAUCCUUGUAGUAGAGCACUUAUCCCCAUGACUUUUUCUUUGUUGUUGUUAUCAUGUGUAUAAACAAGCAUUGUACCUAGAGUAGGCACGUUCUUCCUGUUACUAUUGGGAAUGCCCUACUCUGUCUACGGAGCAGCUAUUCUUUCGUCACUUUACUUUCUUAAUAAACUUGCUUUCGCUUUGCACUGUGGACUUGCCCUGAAUUCUUGCUUGCACGAGAUUCAAGAACCUUCUCUUGAAGUCUGGAUCAGGACCCCUUUCCGGCAAAAACUUGGUGAACUCAUUACAAGUAGACCUGUUCUAUGGAAAAAAAUGUUAAAGUUCUUCAGACAGAAUAUAAUACCAGAUUAA